rnacentral:rRNA from 1 species
GCUCAAAUUUGAAAUCUCUCGGGUUCCCCGAGCGAAUUGUAGUUUCAAGAGGCGCUUUCGGGGGCAGCCUUGGACCAAGUCCGCUGGAACGCGGCACCACAGAGGGUGAGAGUCCCGUUGGUCCAGGCGUCUGCUCCUAUGUGAUGCGUUUUCAACGAGUCGCGUAGUUUGGGAAUGCUGCGCAAAUUGGGUGGUAAAUACCAUCUAAAGCUAAAUAUUGGCGAGAGACCGAUAGCGAACAAGUACCGUGAGGGAAAGAUGAAAAGAACUUUGAAAAGAGAGUUAAACAGUACGUGAAAUUGUCAAAAGGGAAACGCUUGAAACCAGUAUUCCGUGCCGCCAAAUCAGCCGCAAAGGUGCACUUUGGCGCACGGGGGUCAGCAUCAGUUUGGGCUCGGGUAAAAAGUCGAACGGAAGGUGGCUCUGCGUUAUAGCCGUCCGACCAUGCCCGGGACCAGACUGAGGACUGCAGCCACUGCAUUGGGGAAGCCGCCGCCCCCGACCGCCCGCUGGCCGACUACUUGUAGACGUCCGGCGACCGCCUAGGGGCCCGGUGGUGUACCACUCUGGGCUUGGGAUGCUGACGAAAUGGUUUUAAACGACCCGUCUUGAAACACGGACCAAGGAGUCCAACACACACGCGAGUCUUUGGGUGGCAAACCCGAGGGCGCAAUGAAAGUAAAUGCAGGUGUGAUGCCGUCAAAAGCUGCAACAUCGACCGGACUGGACGUUUUACUAAAAGUUCUGAGUAGGAGCGUGUUUGUUGGGACCCGAAAGAUGGUGAACUAUGCCUGAAUAGGGUGAAGUCAGAGGAAACUCUGAUGGAAGCUCGUAGCGGUUCUGACGUGCAAAUCGAUCGUCAAAUUUGGGU